GAGAGAGGCCUGCAGCAACAAAGACUGCUAAUCUUUAUUACUUUGGUUAAACUCCAAAGCUCACUCG
rnacentral:tRNA from 1 species